UGGGGAAUAUUGGACAAUGGGCGCAAGCCUGAUCCAGCAAUGCCGCGUGUGUGAAGAAGGCCUUCGGGUUGUAAAAGCACUUUUAUCAGGAGCGAAACGCUGUCGGCUAAUACCCGGCGGAACUGACGGUACCUGAGGAAUAAGCACCGGCUAACUUCGUGCCAGCAGCCGCGGUAAUACGAAGGGUGCAAGCGUUAAUCGGAAUUACUGGGCGUAAAGCGUGCGUAGGCGGUUUCUUAAGUCUGCUGUGAAAUCCCCGGGCUCAACCUGGGAAUGGCAGUGGAUACUGGGAGGCUAGAGUGUGUCAGAGGGUGGUGGAAUUCCCGGUGUAGCGGUGAAAUGCGUAGAGAUCGGGAGGAACAUCAGUGGCGAAGGCGGCCACCUGGGACAACACUGACGCUGAGGCACGAAAGCGUGGGGAGCAAACAGGAUUAGAUACCCUGGUAGUCCACGCCCUAAACGAUGCGAACUGGAUGUUGGUCUCAACUCGGAGAUCAGUGUCGAAGCUAACGCGUUAAGUUCGCCGCCUGGGGAGUACGGUCGCAAGACUGAAACUCAAAGGAAUUGACGGGGUCAUAGCUGUUUCCUG
rnacentral:rRNA from 1 species